rnacentral:rRNA from 1 species
UAGGGAAUCUUCGGCAAUGGGGGCAACCCUGACCGAGCAACGCCGCGUGAGUGACGAAGGUUUUCGGAUCGUAAAGCUCUGUUGUAAGAGAAGAACGUGUGUGAGAGUGGAAAGUUCACACAGUGACGGUAACUUACCAGAAAGGGACGGCUAACUACGUGUCAG